CCUACGGGUGGCAGCAGUGAGGAAUAUUGGUCAAUGGUCGCGAGACUGAACCAGCCAAGUCGCGUGAAGGAUGACUGCCCUACGGGUUGUAAACCUCUUUUAUCAAGGAAUAAAGUGAGGCACGUGUGCCUUUUUGAAUGUACUUUAUGAAUAAGGAUCGGCUAACUCCGUGCCAGCAGCCGCGGUAAUACGGAGGAUCCGAGCGUUAUCCGGAUUUAUUGGGUUUAAAGGGUGCGUAGGCGGUUCGUUAAGUCAGUGGUCAAAUUGAGGGGCUCAACCCCUUCCCGCCAUUGAAACUGGCGGUCUCGAGUGGAAGAGAAGUAUGCGGAAUGCGUGGUGUAGCGGUGAAAUGCAUAGAUAUCACGCAGAACCCCGAUUGCGAAGGCAGCAUGCCGGCUUCCGACUGACGCUGAGGCACGAAAGCGUGGGGAUCGAACAGGAUUAGAUACCCGAGUAGUC
rnacentral:rRNA from 1 species